GACGAACGCUGGCGGCGUGCCUAAUACAUGCAAGUCGAACGCUGAAGGAGGAGCUUGCUUCUCUGGAUGAGUUGCGAACGGGUGAGUAACGCGUAGGUAACCUGCCUGGUAGCGGGGGAUAACUAUUGGAAACGAUAGCUAAUACCGCAUAAUAGUAGAUGUCGCAUGACAUUUGCUUAAAAGGUGCAAUUGCAUCACUACCAGAUGGACCUGCGUUGUAUUAGCUAGUUGGGGAGGUAACGGCUCACAAAGGCAACGAUACAUAGCCGACCUGAGAGGGUGAUCGGCCACACUGGGACUGAGACACGGCCCAGACUCCUACGGGAGGCAGCAGUAGGGAAUCUUCGGCAAUGGACGGAAGUCUGACCGAGCAACGCCGCGUGAGUGAAGAAGGUUUUCGGAUCGUAAAGCUCUGUUGUAAGAGAAGAACGAGUGUGAGAGUGGAAAGUUCACACUGUGACGGUAUCUUACCAGAAAGGGACGGCUAACUACGUG
rnacentral:rRNA from 1 species